rnacentral:lncRNA from 1 species
GGCAGCUGCAACUGGAAGAGAAGGAGAGGAAACAGAGCAGGGGAAGAAGAAGAGGCUGCGGCUGUGGUGGCUGCGGUCAUGGGUGCGACGUUGGCUGCGGUAGCUGCGGCAGCGAUGGUGGCUGCAGCAGCUGCUUUUGGGAAAGAGAAAGAAAGGAAAGGGAAAAAAAAAGGGGAUGUGGCCGUGAUUGCGGCUGCGGUGGUGGUGGCUGCGUCUGCGGCAGUUGUGUUUGGGAAAAAAAAAGUAGGAACGAGAGAAGGGAGG